GAUGAACGCUGGCGGCGUGCCUAAUACAUGCAAGUCGAGCGAACAGACGAGGAGCUUGCUCCUCUGACGUUAGCGGCGGACGGGUGAGUAACACGUGGAUAACCUACCUAUAAGACUGGGAUAACUUCGGGAAACCGGAGCUAAUACCGGAUAAUAUAUUGAACCGCAUGGUUCAAUAGUGAAAGACGGUUUUGCUGUCACUUAUAGAUGGAUCCGCGCCGCAUUAGCUAGUUGGUAAGGUAACGGCUUACCAAGGCGACGAUGCGUAGCCGACCUGAGAGGGGGAUCGGCCACACUGGAACUGAGACACGGUCCAGACUCCUACGGGAGGCAGCAGUGGGGAAUCUUGCGCAAUGGGCGAAAGCCUGACGGAGCAACGCCGCGUGAGUGAAGAAGGUCUUCGGAUCGUAAAGCUCUGUUAUUAGGGAAGAAGAAAAGUGUAAGUAGCUAUGCACGUCUUGACGGUACCAAAUCAGAAAGCCACGGCUAACUACGUG
rnacentral:rRNA from 1 species